ensembl:lncRNA
CACGCUUCCAAACUCUCUGCAUCAAGAAUUUGCUUGGCCAACAUCUCUGCAAGCUUGUGCAGGAGUGAAGAGGUUUGAUGCCUUCUAGAUGAAAGGCUAGAAUCAAUUUUUCUAGCACAAGGUACUUCAGAGUUGGCUAAACAACGGUGUUUGAAGAACUUCCCUUCUCUGACUAAUGAUUUGACUACCUUGGUCAAGAAGAACAUCAGCUGUUCAGAGCUCACACAAAAGAGAUCAAUCAGUUCCACAGGUCUUGGCUUCAGAAUCCUUUAGGAUGUCCAGCAUUUCUUGAUAGUAGCUACCUAGGAAGGAAUUUCCUGCUGAUCUAAUUGCCUCUAAGUAUGAUAUGCCACUAUUAGACCAUCUUCACAUUUUCUAAAUUGCUCUGCUCUGGUCACCGGCAAGAAUGCAGUUAUCUCUGCUGUGUGUGCUUCCGUUCUCUGGAUGUUGCUGGUUCUUGCACCAUGUGGAUAAUCGGGAUUUUUUAAGUCCUUCCCCAGCUGUGCUGCAGAAGGUGAAAACUGUAUUAAGCUCUAAAAAGAGAAAAAGCCACCCAGAGACACUGUGCAACCUUACGGCUUCCAUCCUUUGCUGUUCCUUCUUCCCCUCCCUGAGCCUCUUUGAACUCUCUUCCUUAUGGGACAAUGUGGUGAACCUCCUUUCAUUUGCACAGUACAAUCUUCACAUCUUCAGAGGCAUGUUCUAA